rnacentral:rRNA from 1 species
UACAGAGGUCCCAAGCGUUGUUCGGAUUCAUUGGGCGUAAAGGGUGCGUAGGCGGCGAGGUAAGUCGGAUGUGAAAUCCCGGGGCUCAACCCUGGAACUGCAUUCGAUACUGCCUUGCUCGAGGACUCGAGAGGAGAUUGGAAUUCACGGUGUAGCAGUGAAAUGCGUAGAUAUCGUGAGGAAGACCAGUGGCGAAGGCGGAUCUCUGGAGAGUUCCUGACGCUGAGGCACGAAGGCCAGGGGAGCAAACGGG